rnacentral:lncRNA from 1 species
UGCCUUAGUAAACAAAUAUAAAUAAAACCAUAAACUAUUUAAUAUAAACCUGAUUCACCAAAGUGUAAAUUAGACAUAAAAAAUGAAAAAAGAGACAUUUUUGCACUAGAAAAAGUUGUCUUUCAGUUCAUCCUGUCAUGUUUUAAAUUAUUUACAACCUGACUUGUUAGAUGAAUUAAUCCUUCAUCACUUUUUGGUCUUAUUUUAAUUGAAAACCAGCUUUUGCGUCACACACUACUAAUUGCUUGUGUAGGAAAUAACACUGCAAAUAAAUGUCAGGUACCUCACAAGAGUUGAUUAAAUAUUGAAAAUACCUGCAAUUAGGGUCACAGUGACAGAAGCUGCUGUUAUGACUGUGUUAUAUAAUGUAUAAUGUGUGGUGUAUAAUUCAACUCUGCAUGUAGGGUGGUUUCCAUAGGGCUGAUUGAACUAAUGCACGAAUGUACCAUGGUUCAAGUGUUUAAGGUGUAUGUUUCAUGUAUAUUCUUUUAUUUCGUUUGCAGAUAUGUCGGAAACUUCAGAAGAAUAACAGCUGAAACCACACAAAGGUAGGUCACCGCUCUGACCCACUGCUGCUCCUACUUUCUAAAAAUUCUGAUUUCUUUAGGCUUUCACACGUUCACUCAACACAUCAGAAAAAAAAAAAAAACUUACUGAUAUUGUUAGAAAAUUGACCAAGACUCAAGAACAAAAGCUUUUGACAUAUAGCUUCCAAAAUCGGGGUAUGGAAGGUAAGUGCUGCAUUAUAACAUCUUGCAAAUGGAAUAAGAAAUUCCCUCGACGUGACAUGAAAAUUCACCUCAUGGCAGCCGGGCGCAUGCAGGGGCAAGCCACGUCAGCAGCCAGACAGGCCGACUGGAUGUGACAGGUAAAAAGGGGAGAUGAUGGUUAGAAGGUGCUAUUGUUUCACGCCCGCUUUCUUGACCUGUCAGGUCCCGGCACAGAGGCCCCAGAUCCAGGACCUCCUCUGACACAUGCAAACAGUCUUAAAAGGCCGUUAUCCAGACUGCACUGAUUGCUCCUGUUUAAUUGAUUUGCUUUGCACUGGGGCCUGUCACAUUAAUAAUGGUUAAGUACAGGCCUCAGUGUGUCACCCGGAGUGGUGCGUCUAUCGGGAAAUUAACAGCCUUAACUAACUGCUGUCUGUGAAGCAAGAAGUAUGUGAUCUUAUGAGAUGCAGCUAAUUUAAUACUCAGGCUAAAACUGUAGAAUUUAUAAUCGAAUCGCUUUCUCGUUCUCCUUUCUUCAGCACAUAUUCUUGAAACCUUCUGAGCAGUUUGACCUGUCCUUAAGUAGCUCUGUAUGUACCUAUAUUAUAUCCCCAUCUCAUUAUGAACCACCAUCCAUAGUAAAACAGAGAGGCACGCUGACAUGUAAAUGGCAUUGAGUGAAUAAGACUCAGAUUAUGCUCUCCGCCACUUCACAGGAGCCUUUGACAGGUCGCAGCAGACAUUAAGUCUCUGUGAUAUUUCCAUGACUGACUGACAGCUUGAAAUUGCUCCCCAUCACCUUGAUAGCAUGGUAAUGCACCUUGCAUGCAGACUGUCUUUAAAGUACAGGAAAUUAGACUCCAAGUUGAGAGUCGCCUUUCAACCAAAUAUGACAAGAAAAUAGACUCGCUUUUCUUCUGCGCCUGGAGAGGGGAGAAAAAAAGGCCCCACAGAAGCUGGCACAGAAUAAGAGGUUACAGGAGAAAGUGUCAGGAAGCAUUACGGAUAUUAUGUGUUUAAGACAGGACAUUUCAGAUACUUAGAAGUCAUACCCGUUCCUCUAUUCCUCCCCCUCCGUCUGUGUCAAAUACUGACUUCAUUUGCAAGAGCUCAACCCAUGGCUGACACCAAGAGCUCGCAGUAUCUCGCCGGAAGUCAGCAUGACGGAGACAGUUAGGAAAAGUUGAGGUGCAGCCAAGAUCGCGGCGGUGAAGGGUCUUUUUCACGUUGUCUCCUCGAUUAGUUAAAGCUGGUCAGGAGUAAGGAAGCAAAGCCUUGUGGAGAUUAUCAGCUGUCGUCCACUUGCCAUCAGGCAGGUGAGGAUCCUGGUGGGUUGUAGUCAUGCUGUAGAGAAGAGUUAACUUCACCUUCUCCUUCCCUGUUAGCAGCUGGAACCAACAGCUCAAUUCAAGCUGACAUCUGCCAUAUUACUGCCGCACAACUUUGUGGAAACUUCAAGAAGCUCCAGUAAGACUGUCAGUACUGGACUUGUCUGAAAGGUUUAGGAGAAACAGGCGAGUGCGAUCAUGUUUACUGGUGGCAAAGUUUGGUUUGUGGCUUCACUUAGCUCAAUUUGUCCAUGACAAAAUCUUCUUGAAAUCAGUUCUGGAUCUGCUGGUCCUAUUUUCUUGACUUGUUGCUCAUUUCACAGCUAGAAAAGGUCUGUCACAAUUUCCUAGAUUUCAAAUAGUUUCUUUACAUUUCUUGUUUUGUCAGACCAAAAAUUCAAACCCUUAAAUAUCAAGUGUACAAGAAAGGAAAUUUAAGUUCCUCAUAUUAAGGAUGGAUCCUGUAACAUAAAAUACAGGUUAGGAUUGUAUACAGUCCAAUUUAUGAGGCAAAAUUGCUUGGUUCUGUCCAUCAAGAGCUUAAAGCCCAGCAAAUGUUCAGUUUUUACACCCACAGAAAAACUAAUCAAGUUCUCACAUGUUGUGGGUGGCUUGUCUUUUUGUGAAUUGGAGAUUCAAACCCCCAAAAUAUCCAAUUUUCAAAAGAGUAAUACAGAAAAAGAGGAUAAAAUCUUGACUUUUAAAAUUACUCUUGGCAAGAAAAUGCCUGAAAUGAUUUCAUAAAGGCCAAAAAAAUUUCUUGAAUUUCUUGUUUUGUUUGACAAGACUCCCAAAGUAUUAAAUUUACAAAAAUAUCACACAGAAAAAAACAUGAAAUUCUACAUUUGAGAUUAAUUCUUGUUGAACAAUGCCCGCCAGAAUCUCAUUAAGCCUAACUGUACUAGUUUAAAAUGCUUGUUUUGGUUGACCAGGGGCUUAAAACCUUAUAUAUUCAAAUUACAAGAAUUUGGACUUGGAAAAAAAUCACAAUGAUUGUUGGACCAAACCACAAAAUGAAUGUCCAGAUUCCCCCAAAGAUUCUCUACAGCUUAUCUUAUUACAUUUAAUCCAUUUUGUAACCAGGAGUUCCAAACUCAAAUGAUUUGAUUUAUAAUAAUCCAGAACUUUAACAAAGUUGUAAAUCCUCUCAGAAAAUUGAAAUUUUACCACAACUAAUAAGUAAAAAACAAUCUUUGACGAAACUAUAACAGAUUCAAUUGUUGUACAAACUCUAUCCUGCAACUUAGCAAGUAUAACAUUUUUAAUAGAAGACACCAAACACUUGUAUUUGUUUGUGAUCACUCUGUUUAAGAUUCACAUUCACUAUUCUGCACAUGUGCAACACCCAGUGCUGAUCCCUCACAUUUACUCGUCUAGAUUUAAUUUAUGGAGCCUAAGCCGGGGGUGAAAAUGUACAGGUAGCGUGUUAUGACACUGGAAGCACUGUGCAGGUCGGGAUGAAUGUCUGUGAUGGGCAGAUUAUUCAGACUAAAGUAGGCCUAAAGAAUGAUCUUGUCACAUUUCACAGGCCGGAUUAGGGAUACGCGGGAGGAGCGCUUCAGUCAGGAAUUAGCGUCAUGUGGUCGGCUGGAGACAAGCAUGCAAGGUAUUUGCCGAGACAGGCUUGGACACUUACCGCUCCAUUUGUCUACUUAGCGAUCAAAUACUGAAGCUGAUGGUUAUUUCUCUGUCAUUUGUGGUUUACGUGAUACAUGUUCAUCUCCGUGAUGUGAAAUUUCUGAGAUCAGAACACCCCCGUGGACAUUCAGGUUCAUUUAGCUUCUUUCUAUAAACGCACCACAUGCAAUUCUACGUGUACAAUACAGCAUUAGAUACAACACACUAUGCCAACUUGAACCAGCUAUAUUUGUGGCUUUGCAUGCUAAACGAGAGCGAGUGUGAGUGUCUUCAGGCUAUCAAAAUGAGCUUUUACCACCAUGAUUGAAGAGUGAGAGAGCGUGCAGGAGCUAAAAGACAAAGUAGAAGAGGCCUGACAAAUGAAAUCAAACUUCAUAAGACCUGCCAGUGGUGUCAGUUGUUAUCCAUAUCUCCAGCGCAUUAUGGUACCGCAACGCAGCUCACCGCCGUCUCAUCUGUCGCCUCGAAUUCAUCACGUCCUCGACUGUUUCUUUUAAGUCACAAGUGUCAGUGUGAAGAGGAGUCUUAAUUGACAACUGAGUGGCACAGACGUGGACCGCUGCCUUUAUUUUGGUGCCAAGAAGGGUUGUGUUGUUUUUGAUGAGCUAUUAUUGGCAGAAGCCAGUAGCAAGAUAGCGGUCGGAGCCUGGAAAUGGGAAGUGACAUCAGACAGAGAGGAGCUUGUCGUUGUCUCUAGGCGAGUUCAACCCCAGCUGUAAGUUGGGAACAGCCUGUUGAAAUGUCACUCAGCUGAAUUUCUUAUCUCUGGAGAAGAGAAAUUUGGCUCCAUUUGGUGAAAUUGCGGCUGGAAUUGUUUAGACAUUUGCAGUCCGAAUAUUGAAUAGCAAAAACAAGUUGGCCUGGUUUCAAAGAAGAUGUUUUCUGGUGUAAUUAAAUGUAUUAUGUUGAACAUAGAGAGCUACCAUGAGCCUCCAGCAUUCAUUUGCAGAGCAUUUGAGAUCUGUUGCCCCAAAUUUGCUGCAGUGUUUCUCAACAUAUUAUUUAUUUGUCAGAAUCAAUUGGCAGUCUGAUUUUCUUUAGUACUUCGUGUUCGCUGCCAAUCCAUAAAUUUAAUUUAGAUUUUGUAUGCUUUGUGGUGUCCACCCAUGAGAUUUCUGCUGGAGUAUUUUUUUGCAGAGCUCAAAGCAUUAAAAAUGGGAUUGAAGAUAAUGUGUGACUCUCUAAUGGUCGUCAUGGUUUGGUAGUAAAAUUACACAGAGGCCUCGAAAGGCAACCAAAACUAAUAUUCUGCAAAGAGAGUGGCGAGACAGCCAAACAAAACUCACAUUUGUAAGGUUCACAACCAGAAAUGUCCAACAAACUGAAAAUUCAGCUUUAAAAAAAUCCACUGGGAAUUCAUUGGAAAAACUAGGAGGAACCAAAAGAGAACACAGGAAAGACGCCAGGUAGACUACCCUGAUGAGGUGAAACUGAUCACAAGAAGCAUGCAACAGGACAAAGGGCACAAAAAAUAACAACACAGACUAAGGGCAUAACUGACAAUUUAGUCCAAGACUGGCGUACAACAGGAAAAAGACAUUAAAGUUCAAGUAACAUAAAGUAACCAAGCCUAACCUUACCCUUCCUUAACACAACACAACAUAACGUAAUACCAGUAAACAUACCCAGGAAGACACAAAUAGCAACUCAUGACAGAAGUAUGAUGAGGUAUCUAGGUUAUCCAAUUUUACAAAGUUUUGCCUCCAGAAAGAGUUCGGCUGUGUCUAACAGCUUUUUCACAUCUUAGUAACCAUCAGUUAGUGGCCUUCAAAUUUGGAAUAGAUGUUCUUAGUUCCCAAAAGAUGGAGCCCAACUUUAAUGGUCACCCCAUUUUUGUCCCAUGUUGACUCUUUUAGACUCGUUAAGUGUCUCAUUUAGACCACAAGCUAACUCAGUUGGAUAAGGUUGUUGCUAAAAUUUAAGAACUGCACUAUUAGGGGUUGAGGAAACAUCGUGGGCUACCCAUUAGCCACCUCAAAAUGUCUUUCUUUUUUUUCAUUUCAAACCGCAUCUUUAGCAAUAGUGUCUCUUGGCAUCUAGUAUUUUGAUUGAGCAGCCUGAUGCAAGAAAUAUUUCUUUCGCAGUAGGAUCUGGAUUUUUUGCCUUUAGACCCAGAAAGGGCCAGUCUUCCCCUCUGGUGCCCCCAAAGGGUCCACAUUGGUGGUUUUACCAGCUUUGGCUAACAUAAGGGAAACUAUUUGUGCAAAAGUAGAGUGAACUUUCCCUUCGAUAUGAAUUAAAGGACUGGAUUUCCCUCAUCAUAACAACUAGUGUAAACUGUUAUUCCGGUACUGUAACCCGCCCUUUGAGAAACAUCUGGCAUUUAUAACCAGCUCACAGUAAAUCAAUGAGCCGCCCGUAACAUCUAGCUCAAUAGCAGCACUUCUUAAUCACAAUGUUCUCUUCUAAUAUUCACUCAGCUGGAGUACAGAGUAAAUAAAUAGCUCUCAGCACAGUACGUCUUGCUGUACAUUGAUCACAAGCACAAGACCCCAGGCGAUAACGCACAGAAGAAAAAUGGCUUCCUGGUUUUCAGUCAUCUGAGGCUCUGUGCAGCCCUUAAUAGACAGAAUCAGAAUGUCUGCUGUGGUGUUGCAGGCUUUAUGAGGGACCAUUACCGCUUUUAUUGUGUAUCCCUGGACUAAUGGCUUUCCAUAGUACCUCUGAUUUACGGCCUGUCAGCUCUGUGGCUGUCCAUUAGAACGGUAGGUUGACAUCAAGCCAGUGGUUGUAGUGCCUACUGUUCAAAAUAAGGAAGUCAUGUCUCAGAUAUACACACCAGAUGUCUAAAAACACUCUCACUUUUCAAAGGUUCUUCUAUUAGGUCAUUUACAGAAGACAAAUAUCGCUCUGUCUCUGAGUGGAUAUGACACACGUUUACGGUUUAUACAAGGUAAACCUGUCAAAUCUGUGCACACACAGCCCCUUACUGUUUGUAAUCAUCAGCAUUAAGCAGAUUUUUUAAUGGAUAGUUUAUGAUGGGACAUAAACUGUGUUCCCAGCACUUAAACACGUCAUUAAAUAUAAGCCUCUCUUAUGGACUUUAUUUUCUGGUCGGUUUUUUAUAGUUUGGGUUGAAUUUCUUAAAUUGAGUAUGAGCCGUUCACACAUACAGCAGAUUCAAAUCACUGAUGCUGAUUUUAAACUUCAUCAUUUUGAGGUCAAAGUUCACAAUGUGUCAUAUUUUCAUGAUGAUUACUAAGAUCUGGGAACAUACUGUGAUGAUAUAAUAAAGAUGAGAUCACAAAUGGCAGGUGCAGAGCUCAUAAAUUUCUUGUACAAACAUGGUCAACAUCUUAAAAAGCACAUUUCUAGCUUGCCAAACUUAGUAAAAGAGGGAACAAGGUGAUCCCUUACAAAUGCAAAGAAGACCAGUGACAAGAGGUUGUACUUGGAAGUGCCGAACCACUGCUAUUAACAUCACAAAAAAGGUUGAAAAGCUCCUAAUUUUUUUCCAGUUUUCAAAAUCUUUCAGGUUAUCCAUAAACUGUAACUAUGUACCAACCCCAGUCAGUCAUUCUCUCUGACUCAAACAGCAAACUGAUGAGGUUUUUUGGCGUAUUUGCCUUUAUUAGAUCAGACAGAGAAAAGAAGAGAGAAAGGAAAUGUUUGGAGUAGAGAGUGAGGAAUGGCGUACAACAAGACAAUGUUAACAGAAGUCAUACAGAGGAAACAGGUAAGAGAAACAACUCACAUGUGCGAGUCCGAUCAAUGACGCCAAAACAUGAAAAUAAAAUCAUGUAAAGUAAGAUAAAGUAAAACAAGUAUGACAAUUCAUCUGCAGAUUGAGGUUCAUUGCAGAAUUUCGGUCCAGUGAACUAUGGGCAUUUGAUUCACAUUGGCGAAUGUGUUUGCAGCCAAGCGGUACUGUGACAUGUUAGCAUGCCACUUUUAGAUCCCUUGUGAUAGUGGUAGUUGCCUGCAUGUUAUGUGUGUCCGUUUAGAUUUUUUCUGGGUUGUCCCCAAUGAGUAGGGUUUUAUGAGCAGCAUGUGUAGCCUGAGAGAAGCCACUAUACCCAGCAUCAUUUAAGAGAGUUAGCAGUGUUUGGUUUGCUUUUCUUAUUUCCUCUUUUUUUGUCAUUAUUCAGUAUGUACGGCAAUGUCUCUAUGAGAAGAAAAUUGCUGUAAAUUUUGUUGCAAUACUCACAAGAAAAUAGAUGAUCAAAGAAAGUCAGAUUUUAAGGAGGCCAGAGUUGUAGAAUAAAUUUGACCUUAGAUUUUAAUCAGAUAAUAUUCAAUUUCUUGCGUUCAGACAACUCUCACAGAUCAGAGCUGACGGUUUGAAAUGUACCUGCGCUGAGUUGCUGUUGAAGGCCAGGAUGGAUGAACACAUGCAGACAAACAGGAAGGAAUGUUUAAUUUAAAGGGGAUCGUAAAUGGAUCACCAUACAAGAAAGCCACCUCAGACUUUUAUCUCUGUUGGCUCUUGUAUGACCUUUCGUGCUGACUUUUUUUAAUGCACAGCUGGACCAACUUUAAAGCCCGCUGAGUCUCAGGACAGUGCUUUUACCUCUGAUAAUCUGUCCGCAAUCUUCCAUAAACCUCACUUUAUUAGCUCAUACACAAGGAUCAUCCAUGUGGAAUUAGAGCAAGAAAAUUUAACCGUGACAAUUUAACUUUCUUCAGAUGUUCAGAGAGGAAAUCACAUCGUACAAAACAUGCUCUCUAGUCCCCGUGCAGAUACUUAAUUAAUGAAAAUGCACUCUGAAAACCAGGGAUAUCUUGUCAAUAUUCUGCCGUCUUCCCUUAAUUGUUCAUGGUGCAUCAGAGCCACAGGCGGGGGGUGAGGCAGGUGAUCCCUGACGGGGGAGGAGCCGGUCCUGCUUCACAUAAAAUCAAUUCUGGCCUUUGGUGUUGGCAAGCCAGCGGGGUUUGUUGGGGGGGAGCAAGGAGGGGGGGAACACAUGUCUGACACCUCCUGACUUUUUCAUGAGGUGGCGUUUGAAGUUUUAAACCCCCACGGAGGAUUCUUGGGGCGAUGAAUAUAAAAGGGGGUGCAGCUUAAAUCGCAGGCAUAUUAUCAUCAAUGAAGAACGGUUACCCAAGUUCGAUUUUGAUAAGGAGGUCAAACGAUUCGAUUUUGUAGUAAUGUCAACACCUGAAAAGUACUACUCACGAUACACCCUUCAGAAUCUCAUCUAUUUGAAUGUCAUGUUAUUUGAACGUUUCCUUCUCCCAUGAUGGACAUCCUCUCUUUCUAAGCUGCUCUUACGUUGCCCUUGUCUCGAGUGGGUCUGUUCUCCCUCGGUUCACGCGCUGCGGUGGGCACAAAGAAGAGGAGCUUGACCUCAAAGCAUCUUUUGUUGCAGAGGCAGUGGAGGGUGGUGGCUCUGAUUCAUGUGAUGGGGUGAGGAGGUGUGGUAGGUGCCGAGGAGGGUGGGCCCACAAUGACAAGCCUGGGUUCUGCAGUCCUGGUGGUCCUGUCUUUCAGCUGCUUGAGUCAUAACUCCUCUUCAUAAUAAACAAGUUCAUCUUUGACUGUUUGAGUUUGACAUUUACUGUCUGCCUGAAGUCUUGUUCGGUAUCUCAAUCUCUUAAAUGCACUAUGCUAAUUUUUUCAACUUGGCUUUUUUCCCCCCAGUUUUAUUAAAAGAUACCAGACUGUCCUCACAAAUACGAGUCAAGCAUUUCAACGCUUGUUACAACCAGAUUUUGAAUCUAUUGUUCGGUGGUUAACUCAAUUUGCCACAGUACUUGUGGUCAGUAAUUUGGACUGCUGCAGAAGACAAAGUCAUGUGACAUAUUAUGAAGAGCAUGAGGGUCCAGAGGGUUUAGAAGAGGUCAGGGCAGAAAGGGUCAAACAUAAGUCAAACUAGUAUUUGUGUAUGGCAUUCAGCGUUAUUCAUCGUAAGAUUCAUUCGCCAGUUAGCGUUAAUGCCAUCAAGCAAGUGCACUCAGAUUCAGUCCGCUAGCCGUUUCCUCUCUGCAUGGUACAGUUUAAACCGCAUUUGUGGAUGCAUGUGCAUCAACAGACAGCCAUUAGAUAGAGUCUAUGCAGUGGUUCCCACUACAGACUCUUAUUUAUUUAUUUAAUGCAGUGACAAGAACAGCUUGCCCAUUUAUGCUGAGGAACAUUCUGAAAUGGCUGAACUAUUUGCUCAUGCAGUCUCUGAUAGGAAGAAAUGAAACCUCUCUGAGACGCCAUUUUUAUACCCAGUCAUGUUAUUAACAUGACCUGAACAAACCUAACCUAAUGGGUCAUGAGAUGUUCCUGUAGUUUGCUAGUAGGGCUGUAGAGUCCUAGUCGCCUAGGCGAUUUAUUGGUCGAUACGUGCUAAGUCGACCAAAAUUAUGAUUGAAUUUUUUGCGUGUCAGUUUACAGUCUGUGGUUAAUUUGAUCAGGAGGAACGUACCAAGUGCUAAUGGGGGUGUUUUCAGAGCACCCCCAUUUCACAGGUAACAUCCUGUCUCAGAACCUCCUGUCAAAGUCGUACCCCCCGAUUAGUCAAACUUUGGUCGAAAAUUUCAGGGUUUUAGUCGACCAAGAAUUUCUUUGGUUGAUUACAGCCCAAGUCGCUAGCAUCAAAGUAUUAGUAAAUUAUAAGCCAAUACAUUUUUCAUUAUCAACAUUUUGAAAUGAUGUCUUAGUCUUUAUUUUCUGCUUUUUUUCUAACUUCACAGUAACUGACACAUUACAUUGAACAGUCCUCCAAAUCCAAAGAGGAGACAUUAUUCGCUGACUUCCCCCACCAGAUGCUGGGGCUUGUCUCAGGGAAGUGCAGUGUCCUGGAUCUGGUGGCGCUGCCAUAUAACCGCUGUAUAAAUAGAUUCCUGUGACAGAGCCAUUCAUCUCCAGCCUCAAACACAUCAACAUUAAAAGACAGCUCACCAAGACCUCUGCGCUUGUUAGGGCAGGAUCAGCGGUCCAGAUGCCCAAGAUGUAAACUCGUGAAGGGAAGAUUAAUUUAUCUGUCAUCCCUGCCUGUGACAGUAGUGAUAAAUCUGAUUUAGCUGUUGAGCAGGAGCCGUGAAGAAGGGCAGCUGGACAUUAAGAUUUCAAAGAAGUGAUAUCAAGAGGAGUAACUCGUGACUCACGGCCUGCCUCACAGGGGUCAAAAGUUCUUCAAAGAUGUUUCAUGACUGCGGUGUGAUGUUUCGAGACUUGGGACGUGGAAAAAAAAAAAGGCAUCUCAUCUCUUCACACUUGUGUUGUUUUCCAAAAUGGCUGCAAUCAUGUGAGGCUCCUCUGUCAAAAAAGCAGGCAUAGGGUGUCAAAGGAGCUAUUUACUUGGAGAUGGAUGGGAACAGACGAUACGAGGUGGUCACAUCCUGUGACCAUCUGCACGGGAGUCAUGCUAGUUAUUCAGAUCGGACACAGAUGCUUGGGCAUAACAUGAGCCUCUAUGCGGAUAUUUGGAUGCAUGACAAAAUGCUCAGAGUCACACGUCAUGGAAUGUAAAGUUCAUGUGCAAAAGUUUUCUACAGGUUCAUUUGUGGUUUUUUGUGAAAUAGCUGCUGAAUGAAGCGGAUGAAAACUCCCAAACUCUCAUCUUCUCUUGAAAUUAGUGGAACCUCUUCAGAACUUCAGGGGGGUUUUCUGUUUUUGUGAAAUUAACUUCAUCCGCUUAGGGCUCUAGUUUUUAAGCCAUCUUCCGCUUUAUGUUCCAGCAGUGUCAACAAUGUUUGGGACACUUCCUCUUUUUUCUACCUAAACCUAUCAGAGAGUUAAAGAAACUCUGGGGCGUUUACUGACACUGAAAUCAAAUUGUGCAUAACACACCGCUUUAAGAUGCUUAUGGUGGGGAUAAAAUGUCAUAGCACAUUAAACAGCUAAAUGACCUGAUCACAGCCAUGUGUAGGUGUGGAGUGGGCGGGUGGGAGGGGCGGCACACCAUGAUGAAUCUCUUCCUUUGAAGCCCCUUUUCUUUUCAUCGUGUCUGUGUUGCUUUCACUCUGAUGAAACCACAGUCUUUGUGUUGUAAACAAGACAGUUCUGUGACGGGAACAGAGGGUAAAUGAGGUUUUUCUUUCUUAAAAGAGUCUCUCGUCACUGCAUUUGUGGAUGUCAACAAGAAGGACAGUGAAUAGACUAAGGAGCCCUGUUUACUAAGAAACCUGUGUUUAAUACAGUCCUCUGUAUUGGCAGGAAGUAUUAAAGAAAGUUUUCACACCGAUUUUGGACAAACUGAAAGAUUCAUGUUGAAUUUUGCAAAUUUUAUUAUUUCACAUCCACACAGAUGUUUUAUUUUGCUUAUAUUAUCAGAAGACAGGAGUGUCAUAUGCUAAUGUAACUCUGUAUAAAUCACUUGAAUUAAGGUGUUACAUGAAAAAGACAGUGAGCAGGAUUAGAAAUAUUCAUAACAUUAGAGCUUGUUUGGCUCAGUGGUUAUUAUGCACCCUGUGUCCUUAGACUGUAGUCCUCGAAGCUAGUUACCCAGGAUCUGACACUUUGCCCGGACACGAUAAUGACGGAUUAUAGGUCUCUAUUUAUCAUUCAGACAAAGUUUUCAUUUUUCAGGUGCACCUUAGCCAUCUUGUGGAAACAAGGCCUGAGGCAUCAGAGCCCUCCUCUACCCCUAAAUAAAUAAAUGAAUAAAUACAAAGAAAUGUCCAAAACAUAGCUACAUUGAACACGCACGAGCUAGCAUAAGCCACUGCUGCUGUUAUUCCAUAGAGGCUAAUAGUUCAUUUAGCCCAAUUUAUUCGACAAAGCUUAACAGGGGAUUAAAGAACUUGUAGGUAACACUGUCGCGUAAGUUUGCUUAGUGUGGUUACAGUUAGCAGUAGGGGUGGGAGAAAAAAUUGAUUCACAUAAGUAUCACAUUUUUUUGUUUUACAAUUUUUAAAUCGAUUUUUAGGUUCAAAAAUGUUUUAUUUUUUUUUUCAAAUUUAAGAAUAAAUCUUUAAAACAGACUAACAUGUGAUGUCUAUUUUUGGAGAAAUAUGGUUCCUGGAAUAGUCAGUAGACAAUCAUAAUCAUUCAACUGUUUCACUGGUGUUAAAAAUGCAGACCGAAUAUCAAGGAAAUCGACAAUAUCGUAGAAUCGCAAUUUAAAUCGAAUUGGCAUCCAAAAAUCGUAGAAAAUUUUAAUUGGGAGAAAAGCAUAUAGUUAGCAGAGCUAGCACCACCAGCCUUCAUUACUCCUUUCAGGUUUACAUCCACAUACUUGUGUUGGUGACGUAUUGCUUUGGUUGAAUAGCUCAGUACCACUUAAACCAGCUCCACUGAGGGUUGAGCUACAAAACCUUUGACUGACGUGAACACCCCUAUGGUGAGUUUGGUUAAUUGUUAAUUCUGACAUUCAGUUGUUUUUAUUCCUGUAGUCUUUAUGAUACUUUAAGACCACAGUGUCUCUUAAAAGAAGCAUCUGAGGGACUUAUCGGUAACGCUGGUAACGGAGUUUAAAUCACUGUAAACGGAGCUCUUAAUAGAGCCAUCCACUGUGGUCUUCUCUUCCUAGUAAAUCCACACAUAUUUACACACCUCAUUUGGAUGAAUCAUGAGCAUUUUGGAUGUAAGUUACAAUUUCCAAAUAUCAUCCAUCAAUCCUUUUUUUAAAGAAAUAAAAUUCAGUAUUAAACAUAUGAAGUAUAAAAACGUAAAGUCCACUUUGGCUCAGUAGGAAUUCUGAACAAAUGCUCUCAGUAAAUUAACUGUUGAUAGAGUAAACCACUGUGGUCCUCACUCUCUGGUGAGUUCCCACACAUUACAGUACAAAGUAAGUCAUAAUGCAUUGCUGACUUAAGUAAACCUAAUUAUAUUAAUGAUGGCAUCAAUUACUCCUCUGGUGUGGUUUUGUGGUGCAUUUUUCCCAGGUCUGUGGCACGGAGGAGGACAGUUGGGAGUCUUGACAUGUCAGAGCGUCCGGGGCCAGGAGCAGGAUUAAUGGCCGCCUCGCCUGCGUCCAAGGUCCUUCAGCUGUAAUUGCGAGCAGAAUCUGACUCUGUGAUCUCAGCUGCGGUAUGCAACAUGCCAAAACAGACUGCUUUUGACAGAUUACCUUCCUGAAGUAAUAACUUAAGCACGUUCAUUCUCUCAAAUUAGGCGUCACAUGCCUCCCACUCCACAGUGCAGGAGCAAAGACUUCUUUCCACCCCCUCUGUGUGUAUAUAUCUUAAAAAUAUUUCCCUGCUUUGACAGAUCAGAGUUAAAAUCUGUUUUUAGUUCACAAAAUCUGCUUUUGUCGGCUGCGGAGCCUCACCUGCAGUUGACAAGUGUUUGGAAAUGUUUUGAAUAAAAGAUGUAAUAUUCAUCUUUUGCAGCUGUGCUGUGCUGGCCUUAUGAAACGCUUUUGGAGGAUCACGCUACAGACAUCCUCGGGGCUUUUUUUUUGACUCUUUUUAGCCGCUCUGCUAUGUUAGCCUCCAGGCCUGUGCAGGAAUAAAUCUCACUGUGGUUCUUCUCUCGCUCUCUUUCUCUCAGUUGAUAGUUCGUGUCCUGCCUCAGGACAGAGGGACUCCUAUGUGCUGCUCUGUGGUGGGUUGUGUUCUCUGGAGCAGUUAAAAGCCUGGCAGCUCCACCCCAUGACUGUCCAAACACAGUUGACUGUAGGCAUCCACAUCAAACAGAGCUCUCUGCAAAGCCCAUUGGAAAGCUAACCGUGGGGUGCUUAGCUUAUUUAUUUAUAUUCCUUGUAUAAAGAGGCGUCUAGCUUUGGAUUUUUAAAGCAAAAAUCUCCCCCUCUAGUGUUUGUAAUUUACGAGACAAAGCUUCAUUUGAAGAGCGGUUCUGACACAUGCAACACCCGGUUCUGCUCAAGUCGUCUGGACUGAGAGCAAAGCGAGAUUCAGAGCGAUUAACAAGAAAAGACAAGUCAGCGAAAGGUCCUUUCAGUCUGCCCCUCAACGAACAUGCUGGAGUGAAAUUAACUUUCCCGGCAGUGUGUGUUUAAGAGCGAACACACACCGGCUGCAAUCACUAAUUCAUCCUGCCUUCGAGAUCCUCUGACACUGACAUUCGUUGGAGGGGGGAUGCGACGUGAAAAUGUAAAUAAACUUUAGAGGAGCUUUGGGUCAGUGUGGGAGGAAAUUUAUAGUUUUGGCAUUUACUCUGCAGCCAUCACUCAUCCCCCUGUCGAGAGCAGAGGCCUUGAUCAGCAGAGCCUCUGUUGGCCCUCAGAUGACCCGCAGCCUAUCUGACCAGCUGUGGUUCAGAUGCCUCAGACUGAAAUGUUCACAUUAUUGUAAUAACUCAGACUGUUAACCCUUUCUGGACAGCUGCUGCCUCAAUAGGAAGUCAUAUUUUUGUCACUACGUCUUUUAGAAGUACAGGCAGUGAGCAUGAACAUUUAAAGUUCAUACCUUUAUGUUUUAAAUUUUUCAUUAUUGUAUUGUGGUGACAAUCUAUCUUCUAAGGUUACUUUUAGAGACAACAGAAUCAGUUUGGUAGAGGUAAAAGGUGGAUGGUGAUUUGGGUUGAAGCCUCUUUUUUUGUCACGUCAAAGAUUCAUCAUGAGUUUCAUGUGACCUCAAGGAGUUUUUAGCUAGUUAUGAAACACUCUAAAGUUAGGUUAGGUGUUCUUUUAUGACCAUCAGCAGUAAACAAGGCUGGAUAAAUCUCUGCAGUGAUUUUUAUUCUUUAAAACUGCUGCUGUUGGGUAGGUGUUAAAAAGGAAUCAUAAUAGUUUGUCCAAGCAGGCUUUGGUAACAUUUUCACUUCAACAAAAAAAAUUUCAUUUUAGUAUUGUGAGAAAAAAGAAACCCUUACUGCUUUUAUAUGUUGAGUAAAAUCUGAGAAAAUAAGAGGUACCACUUUGUCCAUAGGGGGCACCAAAGGUGGCAUAACCUGUAAGUUCCUCUCAAGAGAAUGACUUUUAAAUCUUAAAAUUUGCAUUUGGUCGCUCUCAAAUCUCCCCAUAUUAGAAAUGACUCAAAAAUUUCAAUUCACCUCAAUUUAUUUAGGUUUCAUUUUUUGUUACUAGGAAGGUAAAUAUUUUGUUUGAGUGCUAGCAGUGUUUUACAAAGUCCAUAUAUCAAAACUCCGUAAAGGAUAUAUAUGUUUUUACACUUAUGAAAUAGAUGCACACUGAUGCCUUUUCAUAAUAUUCAAAUGCAAACAAGACCAUCAGAAACAAGACGAGCAAGCUUUUAUUCUUAUUUUUAGUGCCCCAAACUGGUGUGAGGGGGUAUAUGUCAGCCAAACUCUUGAAAAAACAGCCCUGUUUUUACAAUUUCUUAAUACAAAUAUUCACAAUAAAUGUCAAAAGUCAGCAGAUGAAAUUUUUUUUGUCAAACAAUACUACUGAAGCAAGUAGAGGAUGAGAAAAGCUAAGACUGCUUUGUCCCCUGGGUGCACCAAAAUUGACACAAAACUAAAGUUUUACACUGGAGCUUUAAUGGCAUUCAAAUUUUAAUUUAUAUUGACCUGAAGUGAAUCAAAUCGAACCAAAUCAAACCUUCUUGUAUUGAAUUGUAGCCAUCAAUGUUUGCCCUUUUAGGAAGCAAUUCACACCCUCAAUAUACACAAGAUAAAUAAACACCUCACAAUAUACCUGUGUUUGUAGGCCCAUGUGUCCCUAUAAACAUGUAUGGUAUGUGGCAAUAGGGAACUCAAUCUCAUCUCCUCAGUACAUUGAAACCAAACUACCUGAACGGCUAGAUACUGCCAAAUGUAAGUGACUAAUCUCCUUUCUGUAAUAUGAGUGAACCCACCCUCUAGACUGUAGCCUGGCUUUUAAUGGAUUUGGCAGGCGCUCCAAACUCAACAGGGUGUGUGCACUGUGCAGCAGAAUGUACAGGCCUGUAAAAGCCAAAUCAAAGUCUAAUAAUGGGAAGGUGGCCUUCAAGCAAAGUGCCAAUUAUUUUAAAUUGCUCCAUUAAAGGCGGCAAUCACAACUGUCAUGUUAGCAUUUGGACAUAACGGCUCACUUCUGGUGGCUGGAGUUCACGUGGGUGUAGCUGCAAGAGUCAUAAACACGUGCAGAUUUACAUAACCUCGUGAAUCAAAUGAGUUUGUUUGCUGACUGCUUGCCAUAACACAUAAAAAAAGCACCACAUUUUCUCACUUCAGCCGAGAGAACAAAGCCCCUCGCUGUUUUUUCCUGCUUUUAACAGGUGAGCGCUCCAGCUAUUAAUUUGUGUAGGGCCACCUACUUUAAUUGGUCCUAAUCUGGAGUGAGUGGCUUUGAUCUCUCUGACAGUUUGACUGCAUUAGCACGAGUGUGAGGGCUAAUCCUCUGCGUAGCUUGUUCUUCUGGCGCAGUCAGAGGCCUGUCCGGCGAUAAUAUGUCAGCUGAGGGAUAAGCCCUCAUCAAACAACCAGGUCUAAGCUUCUGGAAAAUGGGGGUUGAAGGGCCACCAUCAUGCUGUGCUUCAAACAAAGGUGGAGACGUCAACUAGCUCCAAUCCAAAACCUUAAAGAGGGGACAUUUUUAAGGUUUAAAGGUUUGUGUCUUUUAUGCAAACUCGUUGUCUUCGCUCUUUAUCAUAAGCACUAUUUAUUUGACUUCGUCUUCCAGCGAGGCUCGAGCUGUUCAAUGAAUCCUUUAUACCCUUAUCCCAUCGCUCUUCAUAAACACCCUCUGCAUGCAUGAUCCACAGGUCCAAACAGCGUCUCUUUCUGUGCUGUGUCAUCUUAUUAGGAAGUAACAAGCAUGUGAAGUGUUUGUCCUGAACUCCAGCUGAACCCUCAUGAAUUAUGAUAACCAUCGCACAGUCAACAAUAUCUGCUUUCAGAAGAGGAGAAGAGAAGGAGAUAGUGUUUGAAAUGAAGAAAAUAGCGGCACUUGUGCUCCUCCACUGAUUAUAUCACACAUCAUGGUGAUUUAAGAUAUCUCGACGGGCAUAUCUCAACUUCAGUGGAGCUUUUGUUUUCGUGUUAUAUGAUGGAGGAAUGUGUUGCAUGUGAAAAGGCCAAAUGUAUCAGUUACUGCGAAUUCAAAGAGGACAGCUGAAGAGAAGGGUUUCUCAAAGAUCAUUUUGAUCAUAAAUCCAUGUAAGAACUCUGCUUCGCUCGGCUUUUGUUGCCUUCAAAGUUUGUUGUUUUUGUUCCUCUGCGAGAAGCAGCAUUUACUGGUAUGUGAGUGAGUGAGUGUUGGAGGCAGAGUCUGUGAUUUUACAUCCACACUGAUUUUUUUCAGUGCUUUCAGAACAAUGUGAAUUGAAAGUAAGUCGUGUUUGAAUUUGAGAUGCAGUCUGUUUGGAGUAUCUUCUGGAGGGGAUAUAAAGUUUUUCUGCAGGUUAUCAUAAUUAAAUCAUUCAUGCAUGUUACGCUGACAGUAUGUCGGUAUAUUUUCACAUUUAGAAUAUGCUCAAAUUACCCUGUGGUGUCUUUGCAUUCUGACUUGGUCAACUGCAGUAACAAGGAAAAGACAUAAAGCUCUACUUACCAGGAAACUCAAAUGGAAAAGUUUAUUAAACAGAAGUGAGCCGAAAUGCUCUUAAGAUAUCAUCUUCAAUACAUAUAGACAUCCAUGUGAUUAAAAACAGGUGAAAUCUAUAAAAAACAUAUUAGAUUUAUUAUAUUUUUAAACAACAGUCUAGUGCCCUACCAUUAUGUUCAACAUAAAAUGUCCUCUGAGAAAAAUCAGACACAGUUAACAUACUUAUUAAACCAUGCAUGUCUGUCUACAACAGAAUAUUGGAUGACAAAAUAUUUUGAUCCGAAAACCUACACAUUGUGAGCUUCCGAAACAUCGGAAAGUCAACGCUUCUAGACGAGAUGUCCGAUAUCGAACUAUACUACGACCUGAAAAGGGUAAACUAACUAAAUGUUAUUAUUUUUUAUUAUUAAUGAGUGUACCUGAUGUUUUAAGAUUCAUUUAACGCUAGUUGUUUGAUGAUACGUACAGUUUUUGAGCUAAGCUAGACUAUUUCCUUGAUUCUGAUGUCGUAAUUCAACAUAGAAAUAAUCAAACUUCCUUUCUAAUCUUUUGCAAGGGAGAAAUUUAGCAUAUUUUGAGGAAAAUAUUCCAAUAAUUUUGUCUUUCUUCAAGAAGAUUUCUAAGUGCCUAUAAGACUACCUUUCCUGUCUUGAGAAAAAGCCGAGGAUUUCAAAGAAACAAAGACAGGAAAACCUAUUUGUCACACUUUUGAUGUAUUUUAGUAUCUCUCCUUUUUUUUGUCAGUUUAGGACCCUAAAUGCUGUCCUGUGAUCCCUAACAACAUCGAGACCGUAAAACAUCAUAGUUGUAGUUCAAUUCUCAAAGGUUGAUUUCCAACAAAUCCUAUGAAUAUCGUGCUUUAUCGUCUUCUAAUUCAUAAACUGCCCUCUAAACCUUUUCAGCUCACUGGCUCGCCUCACUGGAGGCCACCUGUAAGUGGUCAUCUGGUUUCAUUUGUAUUUGGGGCCAUUUGGCUGCUCUGCCAUCCAUCAGAAACCAGCAG